ACCAGGUUCCAAAGGUUUAGGAAAACGUUCUCGGCAUAAACACCCGGCGGCUCGUGCCCCUUUCCGUGACGCCUCUCCCCCCGCGGGCGCCGGCGUCGGCCGGGAGCGCUCGGUUCGGCCCCACGGAUCCCCGCCCUGGUAGCCCAGCCCUCGUCCUUCCCUCAGCCUUUGCGGAAGGCGUGUGCGGCACGGUGGGAGCGCAGGCUGAGGCCUGUUCCCGGUUCUGCCUCGGCGGCCGACCCGGGCCUGAGUUAGUAAGCGCACUACAGUAAAAACGAAGUAGCCAAAGUGCACCUGGGCGCAGCAGUAAGUGCAAAGGACGUGCGCGCCUGCGGCAGCCAGAAAAUCCACAGCAGUAUAUUUCAUGUAUGCAACUGAUGAACUUGCACAGAUGAGGGGUCGUGCUCAAACAUCGUGUGCUGAUGGGCUGAACAAUGAAGCCAGUUUGGAGAACGUGGAUUUGCUUCAUGCUUCUCGGAGCGCAAACGCCGCUGGUGUGCAAGUGAGCGCCACCCGCAGCGGCCCACCUCCUAACGCGCCAUCCAUUCCACCUGCGUCAUGAACAGGCUCGUCUUGCUAAUGUUCUCUGUUCAGUGACAGGAGCCUUGCUGGCUUUCUGAGUGUUUUCCAAUGCCAAGAAUUUCCGAGCGGCUUUGUAAAGAUGGACGUUCCUGGCAGUGCUGGGGGAGGAGGCAUUUUGAGAAAAUCAUGUAUUGGCAGCUCUCCCUCCAGCGGCCAUUGAAACCUCCAUUUUUCCUGCCUCCCAGACCUAAGAGGCCGGGCCGGGCCUUUCUCCACUUCGCUGAUUGGUUCAACGGAACCACGCACUCCUUGAAAACCUCAUAAAUACCCACUCUAUGGUUUCACUGACCCAGAGGCUUUAAAAUCCCACUUCUACUUAAGAAAAUUCUAAGCAGCGUUAAGGCCCAGUUCUGUUCUUUUGCUGGCUCACCAAGGAAUGCAUUGCCAUAUUUUGCAAGCCUAAUAUCAAAUGUGAUUUCUUUGUUAUGUAUACUUGCUUAAUUCGAUUAAUUUCAUGUCUCCUUCUGUUACAGAAGCCAGUGUUGGUAAUCUAGGUUUCUCACUUUAUUUGAAGACUGGCGUGAUUGUGUGUGAUAAAGUAUCUUUUCAAGUUCUUAAGGAAACUCUCUUCAUCAGUUUUUAAAUGUACUUAAAACAGAUGUCUGCUUAAGGCCAUCACCCUGCUGUUUAAUGCAAAAGACAUCUUGGAAUCUUUGGCCCUUGGAUAAUUUAUGGUUUGAAAUUUUCAUCAGAUUAAGAAAGUUUAGUUCCUUAGCAACAGUGCCUUUCUAACACAAGUCAUUGCUGAAAAACUUUGGUUUUUCAAACAAUUUGAAUGUUGCCAAGUUUUAUUUGAUGAGUAAAAAAGUGUUGCCACCAGAGAACUGCACAGAGACUCGGGGACCUCGAAGGCAUGCGUGACCCCCGGCGGCCCGGCCCGCCCCCCUCCCCUUGCACACCGCCCCUUGCAGACGUGCCCGGGGACCAGCGCGCCCCCGGGAGAGUUCGCUGGGCCUCCGCAGGGCAGGCUGUGAGCCUCGCCGCUCUCCUCCUGGGAGAGCAUUUCGCGGGGUCUUUGUCACGAAAGUCGGCGCAGGCUUCAAUCUUCCAGCAGAUGCCGAUCACGACCUGGGCAGGCUGUGAGGUCAGCCCCCCCAGGAGGCCGUGUCCACGCAGUCACCCUCCCACCCUUCCUCCAGGAAGUCCAGCGUGGUGGCCCGGAGCACCUCGCGCGGCCAGGCCCCGCCGCUUCCCUGCUGGCUUCCUGGCCGGUGACUCGGUGUUUUAACCUGAAAAUGGGAGGAAUGGAUAGGACCCUGGCCUGACGUAAUCUAACACUGCUUAUUCUGAGGCUGGACUUGCAGUGACCGUGCGUCCCGAGGACCCUCUCCAGCGCGUCCAGAGAGCGAGGCAUCCCUCGCAGAAGGCUUCUCUCCUUCCCCGGGCGCGGGGCUGGCUGCCGGCUGAUGCCCCACUGCUUCCUUCCCCCCGCUGGUCUCGUUUGCCUGUCGCCUCGCCCAGACGAUGCCAGGCUGGAAACGCAGCCACGUGUGGCUGGGGCUGCUUCACUGCACAAUCAACGUCGGAGAGCUGGAAGAAAACCCUGAGUUCCUCUGACACUCAUUUUCACCUAAACAAUAAAGAAACUAUCUUUACCAGCAUUUAACGCUAGCAGUGGCCCUGGGCCCUCACCAUCUGUCCCGCGAUGGCCCCGACACGGGAAUGUGUGGUAUCCUGGCUGCAAGGGCCGGCCAGAGGGAUGACAGCGGCUCCUCGGUGGCUUUUGUUCAAAAUCUUUUAAAUAGUCUUGUUGUGUCUGUUUUAUUGGAUUUACAAAUGAUCUGGGUCCCAAGAAAACUGAUCGUUGCAAAGUGGAACAACGACUUAACGAGGCUCCUGUGGGACUGCAGCUUGGAGAGUACUUGGCUGCAGCCAUCCAGGCCGACCGGCCAGCAAAGGGGCUUCUGGUGGCGACGCCGCGGGCUGAAACGGUGACAGCCGCCUAGGGAGUGACACGGUCACGAGAUUCAAAGUGAUAAACCGUUUGAAUCAUGACUGCCAAAGAUGACCCUCACCUAAGGCUACGUCAUGUUUUGGAAUAUCAGCUGAUAGCAGUAUGAGGUCAUCAAGAUGAACAAGGCACUUAAGGAUUAAACGUUUGAAAAUUAAGACAAAGUUUUUCCACUUCUAAGAUCCUAAAUGCAGUACAUUAUAAAAUUUCACUCAAUGUUUGAUACAUUUCCAGAAGCUUCUUUGGAGCUUUCAAAUUUGGCAUCAAUUUAAGUCAAAUCCUAUAGAGGAAGCACUUCCAAGUGUGAUUUCAGUACUGAGACACAGAAAAUAGUAGGGUUGGUGCCAAACUAAAAUGCAUGCCUUUGUUAUGAAAUGCUGAUGGAAUGCACUCGGCACUCACAGGGCGGAAGGAAGUGGGUCAGAACACGGCACCCCGCGCGGGACCGGCUGCGCAGUUGGGCAAAAGUGUAGGUGCUCCUUUUCUAACUUUUCAUUUUAAAAUAAUUUCAGAUUUACGGAAAAGUUGCAAAAUAAGUACAGAGGUUCCCACAUGCCCUCCACCUUGAUCCCUCCAGUGUUAACACUCACGCAACCACAGUAUGAUGACUGAAACCAGGAAACCAACACUGACCCACGCUACUGACCGAUCCGCAGGCCUGGCCAGGACUUCUCGGUUUUCCCACCACCGGCUUCCUCCCAGCGGAGCCCAGCAGGAGCCCACACUGCGUUUAGUCGGGGUCCCCUCUGCUCUGGGACUGCUCCUCAGCCUUGCCUUGGCUCCAUGACCUUGGUACUUCCGGAGAGUUCUGGCCACAUAUAUGGUAGGAGGUCUCUCCUUAGGGUUUGUCUGCUCUUCCCUCGGGAGCAGGUCGAGGUCAUGGGCCUUUGCAGGGAGGCCACCGAGGGAGUGCCGGGGGCCCCUCACCUCAGGAGUACCUGAGAUCAGCUUGACCCACUGAUGGAUGCUGGCCUCGACCUCCUGGCUAAGGUUCUGUCUGCCAGUUUCUCCUGCAAAAUUACUGCUCCUUUUCCUAUUAAUAUGGACCUUUGGGGGACACCUUGAGCCUUUGCAAAUAUCUUGUUUCUAAUCAAGCUGUGUGUGUGUCUAGUAUGUGUUUGCUGUAUUCUGUCUUGAUAAUUAAGUUUUGAAAAGAUCUAUUUUCUCCUGUGUAUCUAAAUAAAGAACAUACAUUCUUAAUA